CCCUAAGUUUAUGGGUGCGGUGGUUUGAUUCAGGUGCCACCUUGCUGGGUGGUUUUUGUAAUAGUGCUGGCAGGGUACACACAGGAAGAACACUGACUGCGCCAGGUCCCAAGGACUGGGGUGCACUUCUUUCUUAAUGUCCAGCAUCCUGUGUCUUAAGAUUUGGUGCAAUAUUG
rnacentral:snoRNA from 1 species